rnacentral:rRNA from 1 species
UACGGGGGGGGGCAAGCGUUGUUCGGAAUUACUGGGCGUAAAGGGCUCGUAGGCGGCCAACUAAGUCCGACGUGAAAUCCCCAGGCUUAACCUGGGAACUGCGUCGGAUACUGGAUGGCUUGAAUUCGGGAGAGGGAUGCAGAAUUCCAGGUAUAGCGGUGAAAUGCGUAGAUAUCUGGAGGAAUACCGGUGGCGAAGGCGGCAUCCUGGACCGACAUUGACGCUGAUGAGCGAAAGCUAGGGGAGCAAACGGG